UGCCCUCUACAUAUCAUUGAAGAUGAAAGCGAAACUAACUCAUAUACUUGGCAGUAAACACUGCAGUCCUCCCAGUAUAUUGCAUGUGUCUGUAAGAGUUACAUGUAUGCGUUAAUAAAUGCUUGCGUUUUUUUAAUUUAAAAUAAAGCAUCUACACAGUGAUUGUAUUAAUCACUGAAAAAAUGUUCGCUUUUUGUUACAUCUGUCAGUUAAGGAAAAGAAGAAGAUAUGUAGGUAAUUGUGAUAAAAUGUUUACUUAUUAAAGUAUUAAAAU
rnacentral:misc_RNA from 1 species